CCUACGGGUGACAGCAGUGAGGAAUCUUGGUCAAUGGGCGAGAGCCUGAACCAGCCAAGUCGCGUGAAGGAUGAAGGAUCUCUGGUUUGUAAACUUCUUUUAUAUGGGAAUAACGUGAGGAACGUGUUCCUUUUUGUAUGUGACAUAUGAAUAAGCAUCGGCUAACUCCGUGUCAGCAGCCGCGGUAAUACGGAGGAUGCGAUCGUUAUCCGGAUUUCUUGGGUUUAAAGGGUGCGUAGGUGGUUAAUUAAGUCAGCGUGGAAAGUUUGUGGCUCAACCAUAAGAUUGCCGUUGAAACUGGUUGACUUGAGUAUAUGUGAGGUAGGCGGAAUGCGAGGUGUAGCGGUGAAAUGCAUAGAUAUCACGCAGAACUCCGAUUGCGAAGGCAGCUUACUAAACUAUAACUGACACUGAAGCACGAAAGCGUGGGGAUCAAACAGGAUUAGAUACCCGGGUAGUC
rnacentral:rRNA from 1 species